rnacentral:rRNA from 1 species
GAUGAACGCUGGCGGCGUGCCUAAUACAUGCAAGUCGAGCGAACAGACGAGGAGCUUGCUCCUCUGAUGUUAGCGGCGGACGGGUGAGUAACACGUGGAUAACCUACCUAUAAGACUGGGAUAACUUCGGGAAACCGGAGCUAAUACCGGAUAACAUGUUGAACCGCAUGGUUCAACAGUGAAAGACGGUCUUGCUGUCACUUAUAGAUGGAUCCGCGCCGCAUUAGCUAGUUGGUAAGGUAACGGCUUACCAAGGCAACGAGGCGUAGCCGACCUGAGAGGGGGAUCGGCCACACUGGAACUGAGACACGGUCCAGACUCCUACGGGAGGCAGCAGUAGGGAAUCUUCCGCAAUGGGCGAAAGCCUGACGGAGCAACGCCGCGUGAGUGAAGAAGGUCUUCGGAUCGUAAAACUCUGUUAUUAGGGAAGAACAAAUGUGUAAGUAACUAUGCACGUCUUGACGGUACCUAAUCAGAAAGCCACGGCUAACUACGUG